rnacentral:snRNA from 1 species
GUUCGCUUCAAGGGAACAGAUACUAAAAUUGAAACGAUACAGAGAAGAUUAGCACGGCUCUU